AGCCCUUUCCAAAUAAUCCUCUCGCGUGUUCUUGAGUGUUCUUCACUCUUGAAGAACAUGGCCGCAGUUCCCAGAUUCCAGCGACCCCGUCGUUCAUCGACGGCGAAAGUUUUUUUUUUCUUUUUUGAGAGCUUAUCUCCCCUUCCUUCCAAAAAUCAAAGAAAGUUUUUAAAAAUAAUGGGCCUCGGGGGUAGAUCUAGAAAAGUUUCGAAAAAAAACCCCUUCCCGGACAUUCGAGCUGUAAAUCGAGAAUAAUCAAUAUGCAAGCAACCAUCAAAACGAAACAAAGACAUUUCGGGACUGUUAAGGGAUUGGCAUGUUUACCCACGAUGGGAGCCUCAGAGCUUGGACCGCGCUGUUCCUUCCCUGCCUCCUGAUGGGAUUGAUCUUCUCUCCAAAAUGCUUAAAUAUGAUCCUGCAGAGAGAAUAUCAGCAAAAGCAGCAAUGGAUCAUCCUUAUUUUGACAGCCUUGACAAGUCCCAAUUUUGAAUUUGCAUUGCUUUUUUUAUUGUAUUAUAUGGAUUUUAAUCUUCUUGCUUAGAAUGGUAAUAUUUCUAUUCACUGGGUGCUCACUUCCUUGAGUUCAAAGUAUGUGUUGGGGAAUCAGUUGUCAUCAGCUAGGUGAUCCAAACAAUAUUUUACAAAUGAAUCUUUUAGAUUGGC